GCGGCGACCUGGGCACGGCAGGAGGUUGCGCGGCCGCGCCCCCAGUCCAGGCCCGCGGUUCCCCGCGGUUCCCCGCGGUUCCCCGCGCUCCGGGCUCGCGGCAGCGGCUCUGCAGGCCUCGGCCCCCGGCGCGCAGAUCUGAUGAAGCCCAUCGAGUGUUCUCCGAGUGCUGAAGCAGCCUUGCACCCUGGCGAUUAACCCCACUGGGUCGUGAUCUGAUCAGUCACAUGGAGUGUUUGACAAGUGUUGAACCAGCCUUGCAUCCCGGGGAUAAAUGCUACCUGGUCACGGU